rnacentral:tRNA from 1 species
UCGGGAUAGCUCAGCUGGUAGAGCANAGGACUGAAAAUC